rnacentral:rRNA from 1 species
GUUGUAUGGUUAAGUGACUAAGCGUAGACGGUGGAUGCCUUGGCAGUCAGAGGCGAUGAAGGACGUACUAACCUGCGAAAAGNUAAUGUCACUCACACAAUCAAGUGUGCUUGGGCUUUGUCUUAUUUGAUAAGCAAAGUCUCUAUUUUGAGUCCGGCAAAAACAAAACCUUAGUUGUUUUCAUGCAAGACCUUUUGGGGUUGUAUGGUUAAGUGACUAAGCGUAGACGGUGGAUGCCUUGGCAGUCAGAGGCGAUGAAGGACGUACUAACCUGCGAAAAGCGAUGGUGAGCUGGUAAGAAGCAUUUGAGCCAUCGAURUCCGAAUGGGGAAACCCACCUGCAUAAGCAGGUAUCUUAGCGUGAAYACAUAGCGCUAAGAGGCGAACUCGGGGAACUGAAACAUCUAAGUACCCGAAGGAAAAGAAAUCAAUUGAGAUUCCGGCAGUAGCGGCGAGCGACCCCGGAGCAGCCCUUAAGCGGCUUAGGCGUUAGGUGAACAGGUUGGAAAACCUGGCAAUAAAGGGUGAUAGCCCCGUAACCGACGGCGCCUUAGGCGUGANGCGCUAAGAGGCGAACUCGGGGAACUGAAACAUCUAAGUACCCGAAGGAAAAGAAAUCAAUUGAGAUUCCGGCAGUAGCGGCGAGCGACCCCGGAGCAGCCCUUAAGCGGCUUAGGCGUUAGGUGAACAGGUUGGAAAACCUGGCAAUAAAGGGUGAUAGCCCCGUAACCGACGGCGCCUUAGGCGUGAAAACGAGUAGGACGGGACACGUGAUAUCUUGUCUGAAYAKGGGGGGACCAUCCUCCAAGGCUAAAUACUCCUGACUGACCGAUAGUGAACCAGUACCGUGAGGGAAAGGCGAAAAGAACCCCUGUGAGGGGAGUGAAAUAGAACCUGAAACCGUCUACGUACAAGCAGUGGGAGCCUCUUUUAUGGGGUGACCGCGUACCUUUUGUAUAAUGGGUCAGCGACUUAAUGUAAGUAGCCAGGUUAACCGYAUAGGGGAGCCGUAGGGAAACCGAGUCUUAACUGGGCGACAGUUGCUUGCAUUAGACCCGAAACCGAGUGAUCUAGCCAUGGGCAGGUUGAAGGUUGAGUAACAUCAACUGGAGGACCGAACUCACUAACGU